rnacentral:rRNA from 1 species
AUUGAACGCUGGCGGCAUGCUUUACACAUGCAAGUCGAACGGCAGCGCGGGCUUCGGCCUGGCGGCGAGUGGCGAACGGGUGGGUAAUACAUCGGAACGUGCCCAGUAGUGGGGGAUAGCUCGGCGAAAGCCGGAUUAAUACCGCAUACGACCUGAGGGUGAAAGCGGGGGAUCUUCGGACCUCGCGCUAUUGGAGCGGCCGAUGGCAGAUUAGCUAGUUGGUGGGGUAAAGGCCUACCAAGGCGACGAUCUGUAGCUGGUCUGAGAGGACGACCAGCCACACUGGGACUGAGACACGGCCCAGACUCCUACGGGAGGCAGCAGUGGGGAAUUUUGGACAAUGGGCGAAAGCCUGAUCCAGCAAUGUCGCGUGUGUGAUGAAGGCCUUCGGGUUGUAAAGCACUUUUGGCGGGAACGAAAAGGACUGUGCCAAUACCACGGUUCGAUGACGGUACCCGCAGAAUAAGCACCGGCUAACUACGUG